rnacentral:rRNA from 1 species
GGAUCAUUACCGAGUGAGGGCCCUUUGGGUCCAACCUCCCACCCGUGUUUAUCGUACCUUGUUGCUUCGGCGGGCCCGCCUCACGGCCGCCGGGGGGCAUCUGCCCCCGGGCCCGCGCCCGCCGAAGACACCAUUGAACGCUGUCUGAAGAUUGCAGUCUGAGCAUCUUAGCUAAAUCAGUUAAAACUUUCAACAACGGAUCUCUUGGUUCCGGCAUCGAUGAAGAACGCAGCGAAAUGCGAUAAGUAAUGUGAAUUGCAGAAUUCAGUGAAUCAUCGAGUCUUUGAACGCACAUUGCGCCCUCUGGUAUUCCGGAGGGCAUGCCUGUCCGAGCGUCAUUGCUGCCCUCAAGCACGGCUUGUGUGUUGGGCCCCCGCCCCCUGCUUCCAGGGGGCGGGCCCGAAAGGCAGCGGCGGCACCGCGUCCGGUCCUCGAGCGUAUGGGGCUUCGUCACCCGCUCUUGUAGGCCCGGCCGGCGCCCGCCGGCGACCCCCAAUCAAUCUUUUCAGGUUGACCUCGGAUCAGGUAGGGAUACCCGCUGAACUUAAGCAUAUCAAUAAGCGGAGGAAAAGAAACCAACAGGGAUUGCCUCAGUAACGGCGAGUGAAGCGGCAAGAGCUCAAAUUUGAAAGCUGGCUCCUUCGGGGUCCGCAUUGUAAUUUGCAGAGGAUGCUUCGGGAGCGGCCCCCAUCUAAGUGCCCUGGAACGGGCCGUCAUAGAGGGUGAGAAUCCCGUCUGGGAUGGGGUGCCCGCGCCCGUGUGAAGCUCCUUCGACGAGUCGAGUUGUUUGGGAAUGCAGCUCUAAAUGGGUGGUAAAUUUCAUCUAAAGCUAAAUACUGGCCGGAGACCGAUAGCGCACAAGUAGAGUGAUCGAAAGAUGAAAAGCACUUUGAAAAGAGAGUUAAACAGCACGUGAAAUUGUUGAAAGGGAAGCGCUUGCGACCAGACUCGCCUGUAGGGUUCAGCCGGCAUUCGUGCCGGUGUACUUCCCUGCGGGCGGGCCAGCGUCGGUUUGGGCGGCCGGUCAAAGGCCCUCGGAAUGUAACGCCCCCCGGGGCGUCUUAUAGCCGAGGGUGCCAUGCGGCCAGCCCGGACCGAGAAC